AUUGAACGCUGGCGGCAUGCCUUACACAUGCAAGUCGAACGGUAACAGGUUAAGCCGACGAGUGACGAACGGGUGAGUAAUAUAUCGGAACGUGCCCAGUCGUGGGGGAUAACGUAGCGAAAGCUACGCUAAUACCGCAUACGAUCUACGGAUGAAAGCGGGGGAUCGCAAGACCUCGCGCGAUUGGAGCGGCCGAUAUCAGAUUAGGUUGUUGGUGAGGUAAAAGCUCACCAAGCCUGCGAUCUGUAGCUGGUCUGAGAGGACGACCAGCCACACUGGAACUGAGACACGGUCCAGACUCCUACGGGAGGCAGCAGUGGGGAAUUUUGGACAAUGGACGCAAGUCUGAUCCAGCAAUGCCGCGUGCAGGACGAAGGCCUUCGGGUUGUAAACUGCUUUUGUACGGAACGAAACGGUGAGCUCUAAUACAGUUUGCUAAUGACGGUACCGUAAGAAUAAGCACCGGCUAACUACGUGCCAGCCGCCGCAGUAACAC
rnacentral:rRNA from 1 species